UUAGAAUUAAAACGGAGGUGUACA
rnacentral:siRNA from 1 species